UUUUUUGGAAAAAAAAUGGAAACCCUUGUUUGUAAUUUUAAUUUAAUGGUUACGAAUUCUUUAAUUUCAAAAAAGGCCCGAUCAUCAUCUACAUUUCCUCAUCGCCAGGUACACAUCAUCGUCUCUCACCGCAAUCGCAGCUCCGCAGCUAUAAAAUUUACUAUGUUGAACUCCGCCCAAAAUUUACUUGUUAAGCAGCAAAAAUUCAUCAUACCAAACAAAUAUGGUGAAAAACUUGUGGGCAUAUUACAUGAUACUGGAUCUAAGGAGAUUGUGGUCUUAUGCCACGGCUUUCGUUGCACAAAGGAAAAUGAGACGAUGGUGAACCUUGCUAUUGAGUUAGAAAAUGAAGGAAUCAGUGCUUUCCGUUUUGACUUUGCUGGAAAUGGGGAAAGUGAAGGUUCAUUUGCAUAUGGCAACUAUUGGAGAGAGGCUGAUGAUUUACGUGCUGUAAUCGAACACUUCUCUGGAGCAGAUCGUGUCACAAGUGUGGUUCUUGGCCAUAGUAAAGGUGGCAAUGUGGUGCUCUUGUAUGCUUCAAAAUAUCACGAUAUCAGUGCAGUUGUUAAUAUUUCUGGCCGUUAUGAUCUGAGUAAAGGUAUUGAGGAACGAUUUGGGAAGGACUUUAUGGAAAAGAUCAAGCAAGAUGGAUUCAUCGAUGUUAAGGACAAAACUGGUAAUUCAUUUUCUGGUCUGAAAUGUAUAUGCAUUCAAAAAUGAAGUGAUGGGGAAUGGGAGAGAUGGGAUAGGAAAGAAGUGAAGCAUGCCAAUUCAUCCUGAAGUUUUAGUUAUCGUGUGACUCUGGAAAGUAUGAUGGAUCGCCUGAAUACAGAUAUGCAUAAAGCCUGUCUUCUGAUUGACAAAAAGUGCUGGUGAGCUGAAAUACUAAGAUUCAUGGUCCUCACUGUCCAUGGAUCCGCCGACAAAGUCAUUCCUGUAGAAGAUGCGUUUGAGUUUGCGAAGAUCAUACCAAAUCACAAAUUACACAUCAUAGAAGGAGCUGAUCAUCCAUACACUGCACAUCAAGCUGAGUUAUCAUCUGCUGUUUUGAACUUCGUAAAGGAAACCUUGCGUCCGCACAAGGGUACCCCUAACUAGAUGCUUCUGCGUGUUAAGAUGAUCGCAACAUAGUAUUUGGUGGCGUUCAUGUCUGGUUGUUCAAGGUGGAGCCUUCCAAUAAAAUUUACUGAUAAAUGUUUAAAAAGUUCCCCAACGCAGCAUUAUAAUGUUUUAGCAUAUGCUAAGAGUCAUCAUGUAAUGCAAUAAAGGUUAUGUUAUAAAUUGUGAAGAUUAUAUAGCGACCGUUGAUCUCACUGAUAAUGUAUACCCACGCACUGAAACCCAAUUCAUGAUCACUCUGGGAUAUUUGUUUUGUCUAUGGUAUAGUGCUUUCACGGCUUAUCUAAUUCCAAGAAGCAGACUGUGAUCAAACGACAUUUGUUAGUGUGCAACUUACCUUUCUAAUAAAAGUUGUCAUUUUAGAUAUGUAAA